ACCCGCACAAGCGGUGGAUGAUGUGGUUUAAUUCGAUGCAACGCGAAAAACCUUACCCACCUUUGACAUGUACGGAACCCUUUAGAGAUAGAGGGGUGCUCGAAAGAGAGCCGUAACACAGGUGCUGCAUGGCUGUCGUCAGCUCGUGUCGUGAGAUGUUCGGUUAAGUCCGCUAACGAGCGCAACCCUCGCCGUAUGUUACAAGUGUCAUACGGGACUGCCGGUAAAAAGCCGGAGGAAGGUGAGGAUGAUGUCAAGUCAGCAUGACCUUUAUAUCCAGGGCUACACACACGCUACAAUGGUCUGUACAAUUGGUUGCCAAGCCGCGAGGCGGAGCCAAUCCGUAAAGCAGGCCUCAGUUCAGAUUGCAGUCUGCAACUCGACUGCAUGAAGCCGGAGUUGCUAGUAACCGCAGGUCAGCAAUACUGCGGUGAAUACGUUCCCGGGUCUU
rnacentral:rRNA from 1 species